AAAUAAAUUUCUAUAAUAUUUCCAAGCAUUUUGCACCAUUUUUUCCAUUAUUCACCGUUUUCGCAAAACAAAGACCACCACAAGUGUAAGAGAGAAAUCGACCACCUCCAUCUGUUCGAUAAUAUACCCUUAUCUAACCUUGCCUAGUCCUCGACGUUGAAUUCGAGGGGUGAAUCUUGAGAUAUGGGUGGGAAAUCUGUUUUUUCACGUUUUCUAAUCCAGUUUUCACAAUGAUAUCACAAGUAUCAAGUUAACUUUACAAUAAAAAGAGGGGAGGCCAAAUUUGAAAUAGAAGCAGUCAAGAGGAG
rnacentral:lncRNA from 1 species